AGCUCCAAUAGCGUAUAUUAAAGUUGUUGCAGUUAAAAAGCUCGUAGUUGGAUUUCUGGCAGGAGCGACCGGUCCGCCGCAAGGUGUGCACUAGGUCGUCUCCAGUCAUCUUUGUGGGAACUGCUCUGGCAUUAGGUUGUCGGGGUUAGGGAACACAUCGUUUACUGUGAAAAAAUUAGGGUGUUUAAAGCAGGCUUAUGCCGUUGAAUACAUUAGCAUGGAAUAAUAAGAUAGGACUUUGGUGGUCUAUUUUGUUGGUUUGCACACCAAGGUAAUGAUUAAUAGGGAUAGUUGGGGGUAUUCGUAUUUAAUUGUCAGAGGUGAAAUUCUUGGAUUUAUGAAAGACGAACUACUGCGAAAGCAUUUACCAAAGAUGUUU
rnacentral:rRNA from 1 species